AUUGAACGCUGGCGGCAUGCUUUACACAUGCAAGUCGAACGGUAACAGGGAGCUUGCUCCGCUGACGAGUGGCGAACGGGUGAGUAAUGCGUCGGAACGUGCCGAGUAGUGGGGGAUAACGCAUCGAAAGGUGUGCUAAUACCGCAUACGAACUGAGGUUGAAAGUGGGGGACCUUCGGGCCUCACGCUAUUCGAGCGGCCGACGUCUGAUUAGCUAGUUGGUGAGGUAAAGGCUCACCAAGGCGACGAUCAGUAGCGGGUCUGAGAGGAUGAUCCGCCACACUGGGACUGAGACACGGCCCAGACUCCUACGGGAGGCAGCAGUGGGGAAUUUUGGACAAUGGGCGCAAGCCUGAUCCAGCCAUGCCACGUGUCUGAAGAAGGCCUUCGGGUUGUAAAGGACUUUUGUCCGGGAGCAAAUGCUGGUGGCUAACAUCCACCGGAGCUGAGAGUACCGGAAGAACGAGCACCGGCUAACUACGUGCCAGCCGCCGCAGUAACAC
rnacentral:rRNA from 1 species